AUAGUCGAAUCAUUUCGAAAGAAUUCGAAGAUACAGUCUUGAUCUGGAAUUGGAAACCCAGAGAGAAUAGCGUCGAAGCUCAGUCCGCUUGUACAUGCUUUGUUUGCAGGAAGACAUUGAGAUAGCCUAAAGCCCCAAGGUUCUCCUAACGCAAAGUUGAAGGAACAGGUUCAGGCUUCAUUUGGGAUCACAUUGUCACAAAUUACCAUGUAGUAGCUAGAUUGGCUACAGAUCAAACCGGAUUACAGCGUUGAAGAGAGGGAAGGACCCAAUAUGGUUGAAACUCUCUUCUUUCUUGCUAAAUACUUCAGAGAGCAGAAAAAGUUUGAAGAAGCAGAGGUCUACUGUACCGAUUUUAUGGAUUAUACCGGUCCGGAAAAAGAAAGAUAAAAAAUUUUACUCCGCGCAAUCAGAAUGGAACAAACUGGUUCUCCUUCCAUGGAUAUUGAGAGCUUCUUUCCUUAAUUUUUUUGUCAGGAUAUAUUACAUGGAUCAACUUCAUGGAUAAACUUCAUGAGUGAUGGGAGUUGCAAUUGAGCAUAGCUUGGGUUUUGUUGUUUCCGAAAAACAUUUUAGUCUCUUUAGUAAUUGCUAAGCUGAAGGUUUAGCGGUGUGAUUGCUGUAGAAAGUUCAAUCCAACUCUAGCACUCUAGUCUUGUCUAGUCUUCUAGUUUAAAACUUUAAUUUGAAAAGUAUUCCCUA